rnacentral:rRNA from 1 species
GCAAAAGCUCAAAUUUGAAACCUUCGGGAUUGUAAUUUGAAGAUACGGCAUUGGAGAAAGCUAACCCAAGUUGCUUGGAAUAGUACGUCAUAGAGGGUGACAACCCCGUCUGGCUAACCGUUCUCCAUGUAUUGCCUUAUCAAAGAGUCGAGUUGUUUGGGAAUGCAGCUCAAAGUGGGUGGUAAACUCCAUCUAAAGCUAAAUACUGGUGAGAGACCGAUAGCGAACAAGUACUGUGAAGGAAAGGUGAAAAGAACUUUGAAAAGAGAGUGAAAUAGUAUGUGAAAUUGUUGAUAGGGAAGGAAAUGAGUGGAGAGUGGUUGAGGUUUCAGCUUGCCUUUGGGCAGGUGUAUUGCCAACGCCGAGUCAUUGACAGCGAGACGGCGGUU